GCUUAUCUGCCCCUGGCCAUGGUUUAUGUUGUUGACUGAUUGCACCAGCUGCUGAGAGGUGGUUUUAUGUAGUGUGCUGCAGGAGGCUUCUCACAUGCUUUGGGAUAUCUUCAGGGAAAUCCGCUCUUAAUAGAAACUGAGAAUUUAAGCUGAUUCUUUGGAUUAUGCUUCUUGAUGACUGUAGGCAUCAUUUGGUCUCCCAC
rnacentral:lncRNA from 1 species